rnacentral:rRNA from 1 species
UACGUAGGACCCAAGCGUUAUCCGGAAUGACUGGGCGUAAAGAGUUGCGUAGGUGGCUUGUUAAGCGGUGUGUGAAAUAAUGUGGCUCAACCAUGUUGCUAUACACUGAACUGACAGGCUAGAGUAUGAAAGAGGUAACUGGAAUUCCUAGUGUAGGAGUGAAAUCCGUAGAUAUUAGGAGGAACACCGAUGGCGUAGGCAGGUUACUGGUUCAUUACUGACACUAAGGCACGAAAGCGUGGGGAGCAAACGGG